rnacentral:tRNA from 1 species
CGUUUAUAUAGUUUAACCAAAACACUAGACUGUGAAUCUAGAAACAGAAAAUAUUCUUAUAAACC